rnacentral:tRNA from 1 species
UGUAGGAUGAUGAAAUUGGCAAACAUGCCCUCCUGUCUCGGGGGUGGGGAGUCCAGGAUAAAGCAAAUAUCGAGCUCGUGUUUUUGCCCAACUGCCCUUUGGAGGUUCGAAUCCUUCUCCUACAGCCA